rnacentral:rRNA from 1 species
GACGAACGCUGGCGGCGUGCUUAACACAUGCAAGUCGAACGGAAAGGCCCUGCUUUUGUGGGGUGCUCGAGUGGCGAACGGGUGAGUAACACGCGAGUAACCUGCCCUUGACUGUGGGAUACCUUCAGGAAACUGGGGCUAAUACCGGAUAGGAGCUCCUGCUGCAUGGUGGGGGUUGGAAAGAUUCGGCGGUUGGGGAAGGACUCGCGGCUUAUCAGCUUGUUGGUGGGGUAGUGACUUACCAAGGCAUUGACGGGUAGCCGGCCUGAGCGGGUGACCGGCCACAUUGGGACUGAGAUACGGCCCAGACUCCUACGGGAGGCAGCAGUGCGGAAUAGUGCACAAUGGGCGGAAGCCUGAUGCAGCAACGCCGCGUGCGGGAUGACGGCCUUCUGGUUGUAUUCCGCUUUCGCCUGUGACGAAGCGUGAGUGACGGUAAUGGGUAAAGAAGCACCGGCUAACUACGUG